GUGCUGUAAAGGGGAUCAUCGGUAAACAGAUGGGGUUGAACUGCAUAUUUUGAGAAUUCAGCUGGUGAGUAUGAUUUGAGCUUGGUCAAAUUCGUCGAGCUCCGGGGUAUGCUUAGCUGCAUGUCUCCGCCUUCGGGUGGCAGAUGCGUGACGCACUUAUCAAGUGUUGUGCGCUCCGGGUGUUCUUCGGGCUCGCUUGCCAGUGCACUUUCUCAGAGUGGUCACCACGACCGGCGCUGCUGUCUGACUAUUGUGGUUAAACCGAUCUCGCAUUGUCCUUGUGGCUUUGUUUGGUCGGGAUGGCAGGUGGCUCGUUUGCUUGCAUUGCUUGCUUUCGAGUGUAAUCAGCUGACCAUGAUGGUUCUGUGCAGUGCGUCGGAGACGGCGGCUAGUGGUGUGUGCAUUCGUGCCUGAUCUACUGGCGUAUCCUGGUCUGGUCGCUAUGUUGUUCGUUUUAGCGGGCCGAGUGAUGGCUGGGGUACGUCCGGUGGGUGGUUGCGUUUGUGACACUUUCCAAGGGCCAAUAGUCCUGGGUGUUGUGGUAGAUUACCCAUCUGACCCGUCUUGAAACACGGACCAAGGAGAGUAACAUGUGCGCGAGUCAUUGGGCGCAACGAAACCCAUAGGGCGCAGUGAAAGUGAAGGCCUGGCUCGUUCAGGCUAAGGUGAGAUCCUGUCGUUUCUCACGCGUGGUUCCUCCAAGCAUUGAGCGAUAGGCGCAUCACCGGCCCGUCCCAUGACGUAGACGUGGUCUUCGGACCGUGCAUCGUCGGGGCGGGGCAUGAGCGUACAUGUUGAGACCCGAAAGAUGGUGAACUAUGCUUGCGCAGGUUGAAGCCAGAGGAAACUCUGGUGGAGGACCGUAGCGAUUCUGACGU
rnacentral:rRNA from 1 species